rnacentral:rRNA from 1 species
UACGUAGGGGGCGAGCGUUGUCCGGAUUUAUUGGGCGUAAAGAGCGCGUAGGCGGCUAGGUAGGUCUGCUGUGAAAACUCGAGGCUCAACCUCGAGACGUCGGCGGAAACCAUCUGGCUAGAGUCCGGAAGAGGAGAGUGGAAUUCCUGGUGUAGCGGUGAAAUGCGCAGAUAUCAGGAAGAACACCCGUGGCGAAGGCGGCUAUAUGGGACGGUACUGACGCUGAGACGCGAAAGCGUGGGUAGCGAACAGG